rnacentral:rRNA from 1 species
AACAAACGCUGUCGGCAUGCCUAACACAUUCCAGUCGAACGCGACCUUCGGGUCUCUUGGCGCACUGGUGCGUCACGCGUUGUAACCUGCCCUUUGGUUCCGAAUACCUCCCCGACAGGGGUCCUAAUACCGCCUAAUCUCUUCCGACCAAAGAUUUAUCGCCUUUGUAUGGGCCCGCGUUUGAUUAGCUAGUUGGUAGUGUAAAAGCCUACCAAGGGGACGAUCAAUAGCUGGUCUGAGAGCAUGAUCAGCCACACAGGGACUAAGACACGGCCCAAACUCCUAGGGGAGGAAGCAGCGGGGAAUAUUGGAAAAUGGGCGAAAGACUGAUACAGCAAGGCAGGGUAAGUAAUGAAGGCCUUAGGGUUGUAAAGAUAUUUUACCCGGGAAGAUAAUGACAGUACAGGGAGAAUAAGCCACGGCUAAAUACGGG